rnacentral:rRNA from 1 species
UACAGAGGGUGCGAGCGUUGUCCGGAAUCACUGGGCGUAAAGGGCGCGUAGGUGGCCCGGCAAGUCAAUGGUGAAAGCUCGACGCUCAACGUCGAGUCGGCCACUGAUACUGUUGGGCUGGAGCACUGUAGAGGCUCAGUGGAAUUCCGGGUGUAGCGGUGGAAUGCGUAGAGAUCCGGAAGAACACCGGUGGCGAAGGCGGUCUGCUGGGCAGUUUCUGACACUGAGGCGCGACAGCGUGGGGAGCAAACAGGG